rnacentral:lncRNA from 1 species
AUUUAUUUAUUUAUUUAUUUAUUUAUUUUGUAAUCAACUGAAAGAAGGCAGAAGGAGUCGAUGGGCCUCUUAGGCCGGAAACCUUACAAGCAUAGGACCAAGGCAGAAAAGGGCCAGAGGGUUCAUGGUCCUCCGUUCCACCUGAAUCCAGCUAGAGAGCGAGCCAGGGGGAUAGGUGUGCCCCUCGUCGCCCGUGCGCUGAGGCACUGUCACGCAAAGAGACAUUCACCUUCCACGUCAACGCACCUUUAAGGGCGAGAGCGGUCCGCCGUGCCCAAGAGGAACGGGAUGACAUUCAACUGGGACUUGCCUCACCUUGGCUUGGGGGACCUCGAGAGCGGUCCCGUGGGGGCGGUGUUACUCGUGGUGGUAGAAGUGGAGGGCGUGUCCGGGUACUUGAGUUCAUGGGCAUCUCUCCCGCCGCCUCUCAGCCUAUCUGCACCAUGUCUCACACGUUCAGUUGCAGCUCUUACCGUUUUGAAGGCGCACGUGGGCAAGAAGUCCUGGGCAGCACAAGAAAGUCAAUCACGUUGAGACAGAGAGAGCAGGAGAGGGAGAGAGAAAUUAUGAGAUUGAGAGAGAGAGAGAGAGAGAGAGAGAGAGAGAGAGAAAGAGAAAGAGAAGAGAAAAGAAACUAUGUUGUUUAAAAUGCCAGCGGAAAGUCCAUGGGGGUGAAAGAGUCCGGCAAUGGCCAGGGAGUUAGCAGCUUGGCGUAGUGUCUUCCCACUGUUUUGUCUGUCUUGAGAAUAGCAUUCAACGCGACUGUGUUCCCGCAGCAGACGUUAGGCCGCUGCCCACGCCUUGAGUGCCGGACGAGGUCAACAUAGGCUUUCCGUCACAGAAUAUGUUUGGGCAGGAAGAUCGGAACACUUGGGGCUGGGCCAUCUUCCGCUCCCCCACGGCACACACGAGUCGUCAGGGAAAUGCCCGCCUCUGUGUGUGUUGUACGUGCAGCCUUCUGUUUAUUUAUUUAUUUAUUUAUUUAUUUAUUUAUUUUGUAAUCAACUGAAAGAAGGCAGAAGGAGUCGAUGGGCCUCUUAGGCCGGAAACCUUACAAGCAUAGGACCAAGGCAGAAAAGGUCCAGAGGGUUCAUGGUCCUCCGUUCCACCUGAAUCCAGCUAGAGAGCGAGCCAGGGGGAUAGGUGUGCCCCUCGUCGCCCGUGCGCUGAGGCACUGUCACGCAAAGAGACAUUCACCUUCCACGUCAACGCACCUUUAAGGGCGAGAGCGGUCCGCCGUGCCCAAGAGGAACGGGAUGACAUUCAACUGGGACUUGCCUCACCUUGGCUUGGGGGACCUCGAGAGCGGUCCCGUGGGGGCGGUGUUACUCGUGGUGGUAGAAGUGGAGGGCGUGUCCGGGUACUUGAGUUCAUGGGCAUCUCUCCCGCCGCCUCUCAGCCUAUCUGCACCAUGUCUCACACGUUCAGUUGCAGCUCUUACCGUUUUGAAGGCGCACGUGGGCAAGAAGUCCUGGGCAGCACAAGAAAGUCAAUCACGUUGAGACAGAGAGAGCAGGAGAGGAAGUGGGCCCCAGUAGAAGUGGGCGAGAGAGCGUUGGGUGGGAACGUGGCACGAGAGAGAGAAAUUAUGAGAUUGAGAGAGAGAGAGAGAGAGAGAGAGAAAGAGAAAGAGAGAGAGAAAGAGAAAGAGAUAGAGAAAAGAAACUAUGUUGUUUAAAAUGCCAGCGGAAAGUCCAUGGGGGUGAAAGAGUCCGGCAAUGGCCAGGGAGUUAGCAGCUUGGCGUAGUGUCUUCCCACUGUUUUGUCUGUCUUGAGAAUAGCAUUCAACGCGACUGUGUUCCCGCAGCAGACGUUAGGCCGCUGCCCACGCCUUGAGUGCCGGACGAGGUCAACAUAGGCUUUCCGUCACAGAAUAUGUUUGGGCAGGAAGAUCGGAACACUUGGGGCUGGGCCAUCUACCGCUCCCCCACGGCACACACGAGUCGUCAGGGAAAUGCCCGCCUCUGUGUGUGUUGUACGUGCAGCCUUCUGGGCAGAGCCGUGGAGAGUUUGGAGGUGGCAGGUUUAAUGUCCUGCUUUUUUAUUUAUUUAUUUAUUUAUUUAUUUAUUUAUUUUGUAAUCAACUGAAAGAAGGCAGAAGGAGUCGAUGGGCCUCUUAGGCCGGAAACCUUACAAGCAUAGGACCAAGGCAGAAAAGGUCCAGAGGGUUCAUGGUCCUCCGUUCCACCUGAAUCCAGCUAGAGAGCGAGCCAGGGGGAUAGGUGUGCCCCUCGUCGCCCGUGCGCUGAGGCACUGUCACGCAAAGAGACAUUCACCUUCCACGUCAACGCACCUUUAAGGGCGAGAGCGGUCCGCCGUGCCCAAGAGGAACGGGAUGACAUUCAACUGGGACUUGCCUCACCUUGGCUUGGGGGACCUCGAGAGCGGUCCCGUGGGGGCGGUGUUACUCGUGGUGGUAGAAGUGGAGGGCGUGUCCGGGUACUUGAGUUCAUGGGCAUCUCUCCCGCCGCCUCUCAGCCUAUCUGCACCAUGUCUCACACGUUCAGUUGCAGCUCUUACCGUUUUGAAGGCGCACGUGGGCAAGAAGUCCUGGGCAGCACAAGAAAGUCAAUCACGUUGAGACAGAGAGAGCAGGAGAGGAAGUGGGCCCCAGUAGAAGUGGGCGAGAGAGCGUUGGGUGGGAACGUGGCACGAGAGAGAGAAAUUAUGAGAUUGAGAGAGAGAGAGAAGAGAGAGAGAAAGAGAAAGAGAGAGAGAAAGAGAAAGAGACAGAGAAAAGAAACUAUGUUGUUUAAAAUGCCAGCGGAAAGUCCAUGGGGGUGAAAGAGUCCGGCAAUGGCCAGGGAGUUAGCAGCUUGGCGUAGUGUCUUCCCACUGUUUUGUCUGUCUUGAGAAUAGCAUUCAACGCGACUGUGUUCCCGCAGCAGACGUUAGGCCGCUGCCCACGCCUUGAGUGCCGGACGAGGUCAACAUAGGCUUUCCGUCACAGAAUAUGUUUGGGCAGGAAGAUCGGAACACUUGGGGCUGGGCCAUCUACCGCUCCCCCACGGCACACACGAGUCGUCAGGGAAAUGCCCGCCUCUGUGUGUGUUGUACGUGCAGCCUUCUGGGCAGAGCCGUGGAGAGUUUUUAUUUAUUUAUUUAUUUAUUUAUUUAUUUAUUUUGUAAUCAACUGAAAGAAGGCAGAAGGAGUCGAUGGGCCUCUUAGGCCGGAAACCUUACAAGCAUAGGACCAAGGCAGAAAAGGUCCAGAGGGUUCAUGGUCCUCCGUUCCACCUGAAUCCAGCUAGAGAGCGAGCCAGGGGGAUAGGUGUGCCCCUCGUCGCCCGUGCGCUGAGGCACUGUCACGCAAAGAGACAUUCACCUUCCACGUCAACGCACCUUUAAGGGCGAGAGCGGUCCGCCGUGCCCAAGAGGAACGGGAUGACAUUCAACUGGGACUUGCCUCACCUUGGCUUGGGGGACCUCGAGAGCGGUCCCGUGGGGGCGGUGUUACUCGUGGUGGUAGAAGUGGAGGGCGUGUCCGGGUACUUGAGUUCAUGGGCAUCUCUCCCGCCGCCUCUCAGCCUAUCUGCACCAUGUCUCACACGUUCAGUUGCAGCUCUUACCGUUUUGAAGGCGCACGUGGGCAAGAAGUCCUGGGCAGCACAAGAAAGUCAAUCACGUUGAGACAGAGAGAGCAGGAGAGGGAGAGAGAGAGAGAGAGAGAGAAAGAGAAAGAGAGAGAGAAAGAGAAAGAGACAGAGAAAAGAAACUAUGUUGUUUAAAAUGCCAGCGGAAAGUCCAUGGGGGUGAAAGAGUCCGGCAAUGGCCAGGGAGUUAGCAGCUUGGCGUAGUGUCUUCCCACUGUUUUGUCUGUCUUGAGAAUAGCAUUCAACGCGACUGUGUUCCCGCAGCAGACGUUAGGCCGCUGCCCACGCCUUGAGUGCCGGACGAGGUCAACAUAGGCUUUCCGUCACAGAAUAUGUUUGGGCAGGAAGAUCGGAACACUUGGGGCUGGGCCAUCUACCGCUCCCCCACGGCACACACGAGUCGUCAGGGAAAUGCCCGCCUCUGUGUGUGUUGUACGUGCAGCCUUCUGGGCAGAGCCGUGGAGAGUUGGACGUAGGCCAGGUGUGAGGAGGAGAGGUGUGUUUGGGGUGGCCACUGGCUCCCUUCCUGCGUGACGUAGGCUGGCGUGGGCUCUUCCCCCAGCCCCUUGCCGGUGCUGCCACGUGAGAAGGGUUUAUUUAUUUAUUUAUUUAUUUAUUUAUUUAUUUUGUAAUCAACUGAAAGAAGGCAGAAGGAGUCGAUGGGCCUCUUAGGCCGGAAACCUUACAAGCAUAGGACCAAGGCAGAAAAGGUCCAGAGGGUUCAUGGUCCUCCGUUCCACCUGAAUCCAGCUAGAGAGCGAGCCAGGGGGAUAGGUGUGCCCCUCGUCGCCCGUGCGCUGAGGCACUGUCACGCAAAGAGACAUUCACCUUCCACGUCAACGCACCUUUAAGGGCGAGAGCGGUCCGCCGUGCCCAAGAGGAACGGGAUGACAUUCAACUGGGACUUGCCUCACCUUGGCUUGGGGGACCUCGAGAGCGGUCCCGUGGGGGCGGUGUUACUCGUGGUGGUAGAAGUGGAGGGCGUGUCCGGGUACUUGAGUUCAUGGGCAUCUCUCCCGCCGCCUCUCAGCCUAUCUGCACCAUGUCUCACACGUUCAGUUGCAGCUCUUACCGUUUUGAAGGCGCACGUGGGCAAGAAGUCCUGGGCAGCACAAGAAAGUCAAUCACGUUGAGACAGAGAGAGCAGGAGAGGAAGUGGGCCCCAGUAGAAGUGGGCGAGAGAGCGUUGGGUGGGAACGUGGCACGAGAGAGAGAAAUUAUGAGAUUGAGAGAAAGAGAAAGAGACAGAGAAAAGAAACUAUGUUGUUUAAAAUGCCAGCGGAAAGUCCAUGGGGGUGAAAGAGUCCGGCAAUGGCCAGGGAGUUAGCAGCUUGGCGUAGUGUCUUCCCACUGUUUUGUCUGUCUUGAGAAUAGCAUUCAACGCGACUGUGUUCCCGCAGCAGACGUUAGGCCGCUGCCCACGCCUUGAGUGCCGGACGAGGUCAACAUAGGCUUUCCGUCACAGAAUAUGUUUGGGCAGGAAGAUCGGAACACUUGGGGCUGGGCCAUCUACCGCUCCCCCACGGCACACACGAGUCGUCAGGGAAAUGCCCGCCUCUGUGUGUGUUUUUAUUUAUUUAUUUAUUUAUUUAUUUAUUUAUUUUGUAAUCAACUGAAAGAAGGCAGAAGGAGUCGAUGGGCCUCUUAGGCCGGAAACCUUACAAGCAUAGGACCAAGGCAGAAAAGGUCCAGAGGGUUCAUGGUCCUCCGUUCCACCUGAAUCCAGCUAGAGAGCGAGCCAGGGGGAUAGGUGUGCCCCUCGUCGCCCGUGCGCUGAGGCACUGUCACGCAAAGAGACAUUCACCUUCCACGUCAACGCACCUUUAAGGGCGAGAGCGGUCCGCCGUGCCCAAGAGGAACGGGAUGACAUUCAACUGGGACUUGCCUCACCUUGGCUUGGGGGACCUCGAGAGCGGUCCCGUGGGGGCGGUGUUACUCGUGGUGGUAGAAGUGGAGGGCGUGUCCGGGUACUUGAGUUCAUGGGCAUCUCUCCCGCCGCCUCUCAGCCUAUCUGCACCAUGUCUCACACGUUCAGUUGCAGCUCUUACCGUUUUGAAGGCGCACGUGGGAGAGAGAGAGAGAAAGAGAAAGAGAGAGAGAAAGAGAAAGAGACAGAGAAAAGAAACUAUGUUGUUUAAAAUGCCAGCGGAAAGUCCAUGGGGGUGAAAGAGUCCGGCAAUGGCCAGGGAGUUAGCAGCUUGGCGUAGUGUCUUCCCACUGUUUUGUCUGUCUUGAGAAUAGCAUUCAACGCGACUGUGUUCCCGCAGCAGACGUUAGGCCGCUGCCCACGCCUUGAGUGCCGGACGAGGUCAACAUAGGCUUUCCGUCACAGAAUAUGUUUGGGCAGGAAGAUCGGAACACUUGGGGCUGGGCCAUCUACCGCUCCCCCACGGCACACGACAUCAUAUCAAUGUAUUUCUCCUGAACUGUAAGAGAUGCAACUGAACGUGUGAGAGGUCAUGUCAGUAGGCUGACAGGCAGCAAGAGAAAUGCCCAGGAAACAAGUUCCUCUUGAUGGCAGUAUUGCUCCAGAAAUGCCCAUCUGCUCUUCCCCCAGGUCCAUUCCCUCCACCCUUUGCUGAGGAGAAAACGCCAACUGCACUCCAAACAUGGCUGAUCACCAUCUCGGCCCUUUUGGGCCAGCUCUGGCCCACAGGCGGGAACUUCUCCCUUGGGAGACUGGCCUUGGUGGGGUCCUCCUAGCCUGCCUUCCUGACAAACAAGAAAGCAGUCCCCUUGGACAGCCCUAGGGAUGGACCAGGCCUAAUUGCCUCCCUAACCAUGUUUUUAGCUUGGGAGGAUGGUGGAGCCUGCAGGGAAGAGAUGGAGACUGGACACACAGUAGGAUCCAAGCCCACCUUCUGUCAUUUAUGACACAUUUCCACUUGGGCAUUCUCAUGGGUCACUCCAAGGGCAGGUUGACUACAAGGUGUUUAGGUGGAAGGUGAAUGUCUGUUUGAAUUGCAGUCUCUGUGGGCACAGGUAUUUACGUGAGUCUGUCUCUUGAUUGAGAUGGAAAAAGAGGACCAUGUAUUCUUUGGGACAUUUUCUACUAUUAGUGCUCUGAAGAAGGCGGUUCUCCUAAGGAUUCAGGCAUCAGAGGCUCAUCACCUUAUGCUUGCUACAUUAUGUCCCACCCUAAGGAAACAACACAUUUCACCUGUCACCUCGAAAGGGUCCUUUAGGUUUCUUCCCUCUCUUGAAUUCUAUAGUGGGCUGAGCCUCACCACCAUGGACACGCACCCCUGUUCAUUUGUCAGCUUUUCUCGACAUUCUCAAAAGUGCCAGAACUCACCCACCAUGGAAAAGAGUCCAGUCCUCUGCGUUACCAGAUCCCUUACUGCAAAGGAACAUGUCCUCCAAGCUCUAGUGAAGCACAACAUGUUGGACAUGGCCAUAUUCUACUCUGCAGACACACUUGAAUAGAGGCAGGGGUAUGUCCAGGUGAAUGAGCCAGGGCCAAGCGUCAUUCACUACAUUUGCCUGAGCAUGCCCCAGAAGUUCUUUCUGGCACCCAGCAGGAUCUCCUGAGGCCAAGCCCGAUGGGUCUGUCCUUUUGUGUCAUCUUAGCUUCUGGAAUUUCAGCAGGUUUGGGACCACCCUCUCCCUAACAGUUUAUACCCAGAGUCUCCAUUUUGAAACGCUUGCCACAAAACACAUUGGUCCACUUCUGAUCACAGGACAAGGGCCUGCCCACCCUCAAAGCACAGGCUGAGUUGGCAGAAGGCUUCCAAGCAAAAAUGAGCACCAUAGAUAAUAGCCCACCUCCAAGGGAACAUUUGGGGCAUGGGAACAACAAAAGAGGGUCACGGGGUUUUUUUUUUCUUUUUCUGCUCUCUUUCUCCCAGUCGUUAGCCCUCUCUUUCACCCUUUUGUCUUCUCUACCUUUAUCUGUUUGUGUUCCUUUUUGUCUCCAGAACUUCACAUCAAUGUAGUGCUCCCAAACUUUGGCAGUUGCAACUGAUCGUGUGAUAAAUCAUUCAGGCCAAGUGAGAGACAGUAAGAGAAAUGCAAAAGAGCCCAUGGCCUGUGACACUACUUCCAGUUCUACCACCCACCCGGGGGAACUUCCUUCUUGAUCCCCAAAGGCAAGUUGAGGCAAGUAACAGUUGGAUGUCACCCUGUUUAUCCUGGGAACAUUGGCCUGCAGUCAACAGCAGAAGUGCAUUUUUAGGUGGAAGAUGAAUGUCUGGAUAGCAGUCUCUGAUGGAGAGGCACAUGUGUCCACAUGGAUCU